AGAAGAGUAUGAGCGGAAGCGGCAGCUGCCAGCUCUGAGACGCUGAGUGCUUUCUUUUCCACCUCUUAAGCAAUUGUCCUUGGCCAUGAGAAUCCCAGAUAGCGGGGAGUCCUUCAGCUGGACACAGAAAGAACAGACAUGGGAGGCAGCUGUGUGUGACCCAGAACUUGGAGGCCAGCCCAACCCGGCUAACCCACAGACCCCGGGUGAGAAAUGAAAUGUUCACUGUUAUGCAUGCGACCACUUGAGGAACAUGAAGAUAAGCGUAUCUGAGCAGCCUUGGAGAAUGGAUACGAAGUGGUCACCUCAGUGUUUUCGGAGCAGAGAAGAGCUGGAUCUUCUAGUCUGCAGGCGUCGGCCUUCUGGGAUCACCUAGGAUAGAUGGGGUCUACAGCCAUCUUUGUCCCUGGCAUGACCUCCUCAUCCCAGUGAUGGAUGGAUUGGGCUGUGAUCUUGGUAUUUGACCCACAUCUCCCUUUAACCUGUGAUGGAUGGCCACUGGCUGUGCACAUAUCUCCUCAAAGCAGAGGCAACAACCAACCUGUCAUCUAAAAGGGGAGAUUUGUGACUGUUAGCUACAAGAAGUGUUUUUACAGAGGGAUAAUUGGUUGCUGGGGUGACAGCCACACCACAGCUGUCAUGGGCUUCAGACCAUUAUAAUGGGGAGGACCGAUCAGAGUGGCUCUGUCCUGAUGACAGACAUGAAGCUGUUCCAUCGUGGUGGACCAGGAAGCUGAGAAUGAGCAAAACCAAGGGCUGGGCCGGGACAUGACUUUUACCAACCCAUAUCUUAAAGACUUCACAGCCUGUCAACGUGGAUGCCUGCCAGGGGACAAGCAUUCAAGACACGAACCAGAGGGGGCAUUUCAGAGUGUUUCCCACCGUUUAUUUGAAUGAGAAACAGGGGCAGUGCCCUCAUUGCGGCACAAGUUGUAUUUUUGCCAUUCUUACUUUUCUGAGAGCUACCUGUGUCCUUCUGGAACAACAUGGGCAUAAAUAAACGAUAGCUUAUUUUAUUUUAUGCA